AUACCUUCUUCCAAGGGAAUAAAUUCUCCAGAUACCAAUAAGGAUUUAAAAUAAGUGCUAACUGAGAAAAUAUCAUCCCUUGUCGACAUUCACUUGAUGCAGUCACUCUCUCCUACCCUGAUAUGCACUCCAUACAAAGAGGUCAAUAGCACUGCGUAAUCAUCCACUUCCCAAUCUUGUAGUCCUCCCAAAAAUAAUGUUCCAACUGAUGUUCCCGUUGUGUGUAUCUAAUACAUCAUUCACCAUAACAUAUGACAUCACGACAAUACGAUACAAAGAAUGAAAUCGCUCCCUUAAGGGUUGAUCAGUACACCAACAAUCAUCCCAAAAGCUAAUAGUAUUGCCAUUCCCCACACCGAAGGUCACUCUACUCCGAAAGUCACUCCACCUUCGUCAAAUAUACCGCCAUAAACUCACCCCGUAG
rnacentral:lncRNA from 1 species